AUUGAACGCUGGCGGCAGGCCUAACACAUGCAAGUCGAACGAGUGGCGGACGGGUGAGUAAUGUCUGGGAAACUGCCCGAUGGAGGGGGAUAACUACUGGAAACGGUAGCUAAUACCGCAUACCAUCGGAUGUGCCCAGGUGGGAUUAGCUAGUGGGUGGGGUAACGGCUCACCUGGGCGACGAUCCCUAGCUGGUCUGAGAGGAUGACCGGCCACACUGGAACGGAGACACGGUCCAGACUCCUACGGGGGGCAGCGGUGGGGAAUAUUGCACAAGGAGCGCAAGCCUGAUGCAGCCAGGCCGCGUGUAUAAAGAAGGCCUUCGGGUUGUAAAGUACUUUCAGCGAGAAGGCGUUACUCGCAGAGGAAGCACCGGCUAACUCCGUGCCAGCAGCCGCGGUAAUAC
rnacentral:rRNA from 1 species